UCUCUCUCUCUCUCUCUCUCUCUCUUGCGGUGAUUCAGAAACACGAAGCUAUCUUCACCAGAUCUGUUUGAGAUUUUGCUUUCUUCUGCUGCUAUUGAUGGUGAUUGUCUGUUUUAGUUGGCAUUCCGACCACUCGACAACCGUAAGGUAAGAUUUACUGUUGAUUGUGGUUAUUUCCUUUGAAGAUUUGACUGUUGUUAUUUCCUAUGAACAUGUGUUCACCACAGAUCGACGGAGAAGAGGUGAAACUGACACUUUUAGAUCUACGGCCCCCAAACCCUAAUGCGUUCAAACAUUCAGAUCUGGUAUAAGAUCGAUGGAGAAGAGGUGCCACUGAUACUUUUAGAUCUACGGCCCCCAAACCCUAAUGCGUUCAAACAUUCAGAUCUGGUAUAAGAUCGUGGUUAUUUCCUUUGAAAAUUUGAUGAUUUAACAUGCAACUGAGCUUUUAGAUCUGCUGCUCACAAACCCUAAUACGGUCAAACUUUUAGAUCUGGUAUAAGGUGAUGAUUUUGUUGCAAAACAUGACUUAACGAAGAUGAAUCAUGUGGUUUGUUCGAAGCCUAGGCGAGUCAACCUCUUCAGUUCCACCUUGAACGGGCCUGCCAUGAAUUGAAGAUGGCAAAUGUGCUAUCAGCCAACUGGAAUAAUUCAGGCCCAGACUGAGCAUGAAUUUAUGCACAAUAUUUCUGAGGAGGUCUGCUCUCAGUUACAUUCUGGAAAGUGCUCCGUUCAAUGAUAGCCAAAAAUGGUGUAAGAAAUUCACUACUUGUAGCACCAAUGCCAACUACUUCAACAAGUCAAAUUAUUGGAAAUAACGAGUGUUUUGAGCACUACACUU